UAAGGCUAAAUACUCUCUAGUGACCGAUAGUGAACCAGUACCGUGAGGGAAAGGUGAAAAGUACCCCGGAAGGGGAGUGAAAGAGAACUUGAAACCGUGUGCUUACAAGUAGUCAGAGCCCGUUAAUGGGUGAUGGCGUGCCUUUUGUAGAAUGAACCGGCGAGUUACGAUCUGAUGCAAGGUUAAGCAGAAAAUGUGGAGCCGUAGCGAAAGCGAGUCUGAAUAGGGCGAAUGAGUAUUUGGUCGUAGACCCGAAACCAGGUGAUCUACCCUUGGUCAGGUUGAAGUUCAGGUAACACUGAAUGGAGGACCGAACCGACUUACGUUGAAAAGUGAGCGGAUGAACUGAGGGUAGCGGAGAAAUUCCAAUCGAACUUGGAGAUAGCUGGUUCUCUCCGAAAUAGCUUUAGGGCUAGCCUCAAGUGAUGAUUAUUGGAGGUAGAGCACUGUUUGGACGAGGGGCCCCUCUCGGGUUACCGAAUUCAGACAAACUCCGAAUGCCAAAUAAUUUAACUUGGGAGUCAGAAUGUGGGUGAUAAGGUCCAUAUUCGAAAGGGAAACAGCCCAGACCACCAGCUAAGGUCCCAAAAUAUAUGUUAAGUGGAAAAGGAUGUGGCGUUGCCCAGACAACUAGGAUGUUGGCUUAGAAGCAGCCAUCAUUUAAAGAGUGCGUAAUAGCUCACUAGUCGAGUGACACUGCGCCGAAAAUGUACCGGGGCUAAACAUAUUACCGAAGCUGUGGAUUGUCCUUUGGACAAUGGUAGGAGAGCGUUCUAAGGGCGUUGAAGCAUGAUCGCAAGGACAUGUGGAGCGCUUAGAAGUGAGAAUGCCGGUGUGAGUAGCGAAAGACGGGUGAGAAUCCCGUCCACCGAUUGACUAAGGUUUCCAGAGGAAGGCUCGUCCGCUCUGGGUUAGUCGGGUCCUAAGCUGAGGCCGACAGGCGUAGGCGAUGGAUAACAGGUUGAUAUUCCUGUACCACCAUUAUUCGUUUUAAGCGAUGGGGGGACGCAGUAGGAUAGGCGAAGCGUGCUGUUGGAGUGCACGUCCAAGCAGUGAGAUUGAGUGUUAGGCAAAUCCGGCACUCUUAAGAUUGAGCUGUGAUGGGGAGAGGAACUUGUUCCUCGAGUCGUUGAUUUCACACUGCCGAGAAAAGCCUCUAGCUAGAAUAACGGUGCCCGUACCGCAAACCGACACAGGUAGUCAAGAUGAGAAUUCUAAGGUGAGCGAGCGAACUCUCGUUAAGGAACUCGGCAAAAUGACCCCGUAACUUCGGGAGAAGGGGUGCUCUUUGAGGUUCACGCUUCGAAGAGCCGCAGUGAAUAGGCCCAAGCGACUGUUUAUCAAAAACACAGGUCUCUGCUAAACCGUAAGGUGACGUAUAGGGGCUGACGCCUGCCCGGUGCUGGAAGGUUAAGAGGAGUGGUUAGCGCAAGCGAAGCUACGAAUCGAAGCCCCAGUAAACGGCGGCCGUAACUAUAACGGUCCUAAGGUAGCGAAAUUCCUUGUCGGGUAAGUUCCGACCCGCACGAAAGGCGUAACGAUUUGGGCACUGUCUCAACGAGAGACUCGGUGAAAUCAUAGUACCGGUGAAGAUGCCGGUUACCCGCGACAGGACGGAAAGACCCCGUGGAGCUUUACUGUAGCCUGAUAUUGAAAUUCGGUACAGUUUGUACAGGAUAGGUAGGAGCCUUAGAAGCGUGAGCGCUAGCUUACGUGGAGGCAUUGGUGGGAUACUACCCUAAUUGUAUUGGAUUUCUAACCCGCAGCACUUAUCGUGCUGGGAGACAGUGUCAGGCGGGCAGUUUGACUGGGGCGGUCGCCUCCUAAAGAGUAACGGAGGCGCUCAAAGGUUCCCUCAGAAUGGUUGGAAAUCAUUCAUAGAGUGUAAAGGCAUAAGGGAGCUUGACUGCGAGACCUACAAGUCGAGCAGGGUCGAAAGACGGACUUAGUGAUCCGGUGGUUCCGCAUGGAAGGGCCAUCGCUCAACGGAUAAAAGCUACCCCGGGGAUAACAGGCUUAUCUCCCCCAAGAGUUCACAUCGACGGGGAGGUUUGGCACCUCGAUGUCGGCUCAUCGCAUCCUGGGGCUGUAGUCGGUCCCAAGGGUUGGGCUGUUCGCCCAUUAAAGCGGUACGCGAGCUGGGUUCAGAACGUCGUGAGACAGUUCGGUCCCUAUCCGUCGUGGGCGUAGGAAAUUUGAGAGGAGCUGUCCUUAGUACGAGAGGACCGGGAUGGACAUACCUCUGGUGUACCAGUUGUCGUGCCAACGGCAUAGCUGGGUAGCUAUGUAUGGACGGGAUAAGUGCUGAAAGCAUCUAAGCAUGAAGCCCCCCUCGAGAUGAGAUUUCCCAACUUCGGUUAUAAGAUCCCUCAAAGAUGAUGAGGUGAAU
rnacentral:rRNA from 1 species